CCUACGGGUGGCAGCAGUGGGGAAUAUUGGGCAAUGGGCGCAAGCCUGACCCAGCAACGCCGCGUGAAGGAAGAAGGCUUUCGGGUUGUAAACUUCUUUUCUGAGGGAAGAAGAAAGUGACGGUAACUCAGGAAUAAGCCACGGCUAACUACGGGCCAGCUGCCGCGGAAAUACGUAGGUGGCAAGCGUUAUCCGGAUUUAUUGGGUGUAAAGGGCGUGUAGGCGGGAAAGAAAGUCAGAUGUGAAGACUCAGGGCUCAACCCUGGGACUGCAUUUGAAACUGUUUUUCUUGAGUGCCGGAGAGGGAAUCAGAAUUCCAGGUGUAGCGGUGAAAUGCGUAGAUAUACGGAGGAACACCAGUGGCGAAGGCGGAUUGCUGGAC
rnacentral:rRNA from 1 species